CGGUGAUACCCCCAUUCAGCCAAUCAAUGCAUUUCAACCAGUCAUCAGUCCCUUUGAACUGCUGAAAGGCUUCACUAAAUGUAUGUAUUUAAGAAAGAGUGCUCGCAGCUCUUAAUUGAUACCAUUGUGAAUGGUAGGGUAUGGAGUGGAGAGGCCCGCUGUGCUGCUGCUACUGCUGCGGCUGCCCACACACCGGUGCUGUUGCACUGUUUGGCCGCCGGAGGGCAGCGCGGGACCGGAACCAAGUGGCACCGGAGGGAGGGAGAGAGGGAAUGCGGUCGAGAGAUCGCUGGCCGUGCAACACGGACUACAGUUCAUCUCACGGACCUGUUUCAAACAAACACAGCAUCAUCACCUCCAGAUUGCAGGUCCAUGGCACCUCCGCAGCAAGAGUGGCAUUAGUUCUGCUUGUGUGUUUGUGUGUGAAUGUUUACAGGACGUGUGUAUAUUGUUACAGUGUGCACUGCAGUCCACAGAGCGGCCCCGGCGUACAGGCCGUGGCUUCGCGGUAUGUGUCUGUAAGUCCCUAAGGGGACAUGUGUUCCACAUAGUUUAUGAUUAUGGUUUCUGUGGGGGAACAAGAAACAAGAUGCGGCGAACUAGCGUGUAAGGUAUACAGCAACAGCCACACUCACACAAAACACAAGAGGCAGGGACUGCACCAUAGAGAUCUGCCUCUUCCCUUCGCGAGGUCUGAUGUCUUUGUUUAUUUUGUUGUUUUUUUCUCGCACAUUCCUUCCCUCCUGUCAUCUUUUAGAUCUGACAGCGGGAGCAGCUCAUGGCAGCAGCUUGAUAGACAUGUCAGGAGUGUAAAAUACCUGUGUGGUAUGAAGCGCUCGCACACACACGCAGAGUUCAGCUGUGCCGGGUUAGAAUUAUUCAUCACAACCCGAUCCCUGUUGGUUUCUGAACCGCAGGAUAGCUGAAGCAUUAAUGCUGCCUGACUUCCUUUAUAUAGUAUUCAAUUAACAGGCGGCAAUUCAGGAUGCUGUAUUUAAGACCAAUUAUUGGCUCAAGUGUAGUAACAAAAUAUCAUUUUUAGCAUUGUUUUGUUCAUGAGCCAUAUAUUGAUUUAUUUUUCCAGUGGGCUUUUCAUGGUGUUCAAUGCACCUGAUGCAGACUUUUUCCUUAAACUUCAGAAAGUAGAAUAGCGGUUCAUCUGAGUAAUGGAUUCAAAAUCCAUUUCUGAAAGUUUUUUUUUUUUUGCAGAUGUAUACAGUGAAACCAGGUGGUAUUUAUGGAUUUUCCCCCUUUGUAAUAAAGUCAAAGAGAGAUAGAAAAAGGGGAAGAGA
ensembl:lncRNA